rnacentral:rRNA from 1 species
GACGGAGGAUGCAAGCGUUAUCCGGAAUGAUUGGGCGUAAAGCGUCCGCAGGUGGCAGUUCAAGUCUGCUGUCAAAGACCGGGGCUUAACUUCGGAAAGGCAGUGGAAACUGAACAGCUAGAGUAUGGUAGGGGCAGAGGGAAUUCCUGGUGUAGUGGUGAAAUGCGUAGAGAUCAGGAAGAACAUCGGUGGCGAAGGCGCUCUGCUGGACCAUAACUGACACUCAGGGACGAAAGCUAGGGGAGCGAAUGGG